UAUUCCCCAAAGGUAGUUCAGUCACCCAGAAUAUCAGGUCCACUAAAAGCAUCAUUCCCUCCCCCCCACACACACAAUGCAUUGUAUUUUACAAGUGUUUUCCCACCCUGAAUGAACUAUCCUUUAGACCAUCUUUAGGAAUGAGGCAAAUUUCCUGAAUCAGAAGGAAUAAUACAAGACAAGUAAAAGAAGACAAAACAGAACCACAGAGGAGGGUGAAGGACAGGAAAGAAAAAUUGAGACGUAUGUUCCAAAGAAUUUACAUGAAUCAGGGUCACCUAUCUGAGCAGCCAACUGACUGGGCUCUGCAGUUCCUCUACUGCCCUUCUGCUCCCAAAGAAGCCAGAGAGAGCAGAGGACAAACACAACCAACAUGACAUUUAUUUGGAUUCUCUCUGAUUAGGGGUUCAUCAUUUCUUGUUCUCCAGUGAAAUUGUUGGCUUCUGAGCCUGAGGCUUACUUGCUAUUUGUUGCACAGUUAUUAUUUUAAUGCCCCAAUUUACAGAGAUGGAAUUACCUAAUCUCCAAAAAGGGUGCAUUAAUAAAGCAAUUCUAUAGAAUUUUCUCUGAAAUCCUUCACAAAACACAAUUUUUUUUAGUUCAUUUUGAUUUCACAAACUUGAUAAGGCGUGGAGGUAUUGCCAAAGUCAAUAUAUUAUGUUUGUGUGGAUGGGGGUAAGUUGGUAGCAGUAAUGAGAUUUUUACACCUCAUGUCUAGAGUCAUUACAGUGAAUACUAUUAGAGAACAGCUACUCCAGGUAUCUGGUUUAAAUAACCAUCUCCAACAUUUAAAAGCAAGAAGUUAAUAGCAGGGCUGCUCAGCAGUGUUAGCUCUGCCCUUUUCAUUAUAAUUUUCAGAGGGAGACUUCAGAUCAACUCAAUAAUGCUUCCCUUUAUUAUAAUUUUGUUUUUAGCUAUUUAGGCAAAGGUAUCUAGAGACCUUCAAGCAUGGGCAGCCACAAACUCAAAUAGGUU